rnacentral:rRNA from 1 species
CCUACGGGUGGCAGCAGUGAGGAAUAUUGGUCAAUGGACGAGAGUCUGAACCAGCCAAGUAGCGUGAAGGCUGACUGCCCUAUGGGUUGUAAACUUCUUUUAUAUGGGAAUAAAAUGUUCCACGUGUGGGAUUUUGUAUGUACCAUAUGAAUAAGUAUCGGCUAACUCCGUGCCAGCAGCCGCGGUAAUACGGAGGAUCCGAGCGUUAUCCGGAUUUAUUGGGUUUAAAGGGAGCGUAGGUGGAUUGUUAAGUCAGUUGUGAAAGUUUUCGGAGCAACCGUAAAAUUGCAGUUGAAACUGGCAGUCUGGAGUACAGUAGAGGUGUGCGGAAUGCGUGGUGUAGCGGUGAAAUGCUUAGAUAUCACGAAGAACUCCGAUUGCGAAGGCAGCUCACUGGACUGCAACUGACACUGAGGCUCGAAAGUGUGGGUAUCAAACAGGAUUAGAUACCCCAGUAGUC